rnacentral:rRNA from 1 species
GAUGAACGCUGGCGGCGUGCCUAAUACAUGCAAGUCGAGCGAACGGACGAGAAGCUUGCUCUUCUGAUGUUAGCGGCGGACGGGUGAGUAACACGUGGAUAACCUACCUAUAAGACUGGGAUAACUUCGGGAAACCGGAGCUAAUACCGGAUAAUAUUUUGAACCGCAUGGUUCAAUAGUGAAAGACGGUCUUGCUGUCACUUAUAGAUGGAUCCGCGCUGCAUUAGCUAGUUGGUAAGGUAACGGCUUACCAAGGCAACGAUGCAUAGCCGACCUGAGAGGGUGAUCGGCCACACUGGAACUGAGACACGGUCCAGACUCCUACGGGAGGCAGCAGUAGGGAAUCUUCCGCAAUGGGCGAAAGCCUGACGGAGCAACGCCGCGUGAGUGAUGAAGGUCUUCGGAUCGUAAAACUCUGUUAUUAGGGAAGAACAUAUGUGUAAGUAACUAUGCACAUCUUGACGGUACCUAAUCAGAAAGCCACGGCUAACUACGUG